AUAAGAGGGACAUCACCCUCAUUAAUAAUAUGAUGUAUAAAU
rnacentral:guide_RNA from 1 species